rnacentral:rRNA from 1 species
UACGUAGGGAGCAAGCGUUGUCCGGAAUCAUUGGGCGUAAAGCGCGCGUAGGCGGCCUCAUAAGUCCGUUGUGAAAGUCAAAGGCUCAACCUUUGAAAGCCGAUGGAUACUGUGAGGCUAGAGUCCGGAAGAGGCGAGUGGAAUUCCUGGUGUAGCGGUGGAAUGCGCAGAUACCAGGAGGAACACCAAUAGCGAAGGCAGCUCGCUGGGACGGUACUGACGCUAAGGCGCGAAAGCGUGGGGAGCGAACAGG